UAGGGAGCGAGCGUUAUCCGGAGUUAUUGGGUGUAAAGGGUGCGUAGGCGGUUUGAUAGGUCUGUGGUCUAAUUCCGAAGCUUAACUUCGGUUCGCCACAGAAACCGUUUUACUUGAGUAUGGUAGAGGCAAGUGGAAUUUCUAGUGUAGCGGUUAAAUGCGUAGAUAUUAGAAGGACCACCAGUGGCGAAGGCGACUUGCUGGGCCAUUACUGACGCUGAGGCACGAAAGCGUGGGGAGCAA
rnacentral:rRNA from 1 species